rnacentral:rRNA from 1 species
UACGGAGGGGCGAGCGUUAUUCGGAAUUAUUGGGCGUAAAGGGCGCGUAGGCGGCUGUACAAGUCAAAGGUGAAAUCCCUCGGCUCAACUGAGGAACUGCCUUUGAAACUGUACGGCUUGAGGCCGGGAGGGGGUAGCGGAAUUCCCAGUGUAGCGGUGAAAUGCGUAGAUACUGGGAGGAACACCAGUGGCGAAGGCGGCUACCUGGACCGGUUCUGACGCUGAGGCGCGAAAGCGUGGGUAGCAAACAGG